rnacentral:RNase_P_RNA from 1 species
CCAGAUAGUUGAGUGACUGCUGUAGAGUUUAUAACUUUAUAGAGGAAAGUCCGGGCUCCACAGGAAUACGACGCCGGUUAACAGCCGGCAGAGGCAACUCUAGGGAUAGUGCCACAGAAAACAAACCGUCUGUUUUUUAGUUUCAGAUAAGGGUGAAACGUUGCGGUAAGAGCGCAACGCGACUCUGGUAACAGAGUUGGCAGGGUAAACCCCGUCGGGUGCAAGACCUAAUAGGAAAGAUAAAUCUCCAUUAUGAGAGAUUGAGGGUAUUCCUGCUCUUCUUUCGGGUUGGUCGCGUGAGAAUGGUCGCAAUACCAUUCCAAGAUGAAUAGUCACUUCAUCCUCAUAGGGUGAACAAAACCCGGCUUAUAGACUAUCUGGCUUU